UACAGAGGGUGCGAGCGUUAAUCGGAAUUACUGGGCGUAAAGCGCACGUAGUCGGCUUUGCAAGUCGGGUGUGAAAUCCCCGGGCUCAACCUGGGAACUGCAUCCGAGACUGCAUUGCUAGAGUAUGGGAGAGGGAAGCGGAAUUUCUGGUGUAGCAGUGAAAUGCGUAGAUAUCAGAAGGAACAUCAGUGGCGAAGGCGGCUUCCUGGACCAAUACUGACGCUGAGGAGCGAAAAGCGUGGGGGAGCAAA
rnacentral:rRNA from 1 species